GCCGUCGCAUCGAUGAGCUGGUGAGCCAUCUAAACGAAUUAGCACUAGUAUACUAGUAUUCUAGAGGCAAGUCGAAAUCAAAAAGCGCUGCCUAUCGGCUGAGCGCUUAAAAUGACUUGUAAAAUUAUUCUGUAAUACAGUGGCGAGGCGUGAAUGAUUGAUCAUCGAUAUUUCCCAAUUUAAAACUAUCGUAAAGAAUCGAUAUUUAAGGUGUUCGUCACGAACACCCUGUUUAUCGAUUCUUUAUUAUAAGUUUAAAUUACAGGUCAAUCGAUAUAUCGCAAAGCCCGCCACGCAACUGGUUUAAAGAAAUAAAAUCUAGGAGCUGGGGAAGACAAGAGAGAAAAAUGAGCAACAUAUUAUUACCUGUAACACGCAUUUAUCUAUUCAUGUAUUAUUUUUCUAUGUAUUUAUGUAUGUUUUUAUUUCAGGAAAAGCAAUUGGAAAAUUCGGGGUGGCAAAGUCUGAAACUGUGAUUGAUGACCUCGAGUCGACAUCCGAGUUCGUGCCUUACGACUAUUCCCCCAUCUAUUUCAGCGAUUUCGACCAAAAGUUCUCGCAGGUGGAAGACGAAUCUCUGACUAAGAAUUUCAUCCCCUUUCUCACGCAGGAGGAUGCUCUGUUUAUGAACUAAGUUUCUCUUUCGGAUGAAAUAUUAAAGUCGUUGAAUAUAGAGGAAAAAGUACGAAAAAGGACAAAUUAUACUUGUGACAGCUAGUGGGAGGGGAAGAAACUUUCUUCUUAUGGGUGAAUUAUAUUUUGAAUUUUAAACUUUAUCUUAAAGUAACAAUUUUUAUUGAAGACUUACGAAAGAAUAAAACAUUAACGAAAAUAGUGAUUACAAACAUUCAAUUGUCUUUGAUCUCGAUGUAUAAUUCCAUUUUUUAAUGCUGAACCUAUCUCCAGAUUCUCAUUUUUACACGUUUUUAAUCAAAUUUUUUGCUUUUGUUUUCAAAAUUUUUAUUUUUCUUUUAAUUCUGUUCUCAGAAAAUGAUCUCAAAGUUGUGCUUUUACAAAUGAUGUAUUCUUUUUAUAAUGAAAUUAGAAAAAUAUUUUUAGAACGAUUGUUUUCAUGUAAAUAUUUGUUAAAGACCAAAAGAUAGUUUCGAUUUGAAAUUAUUGUUCUGUCCUUCGAGGAAAUAUGACGGGAAAAAUACUCAUUAUCAAACUCAUUUUUGAUCUCAAUAAGGUUUUCCGAGUGAAUAGCUUUUAUUUUAUUUUAUUUUGGUCGUUUAAUUUUUUGUCAUGGACAAAUAGCUAACCCUCUCAUUAUUUUUAAAACAUGAGAUGAUCUUUCACAUGUAAUAACUUUAACAAUCUGAAUAAAAUUCAGUGCUGGUGCAAUCUGAGCCUCCGAUAGAGUUUUGAGUCUCGCAAAAAUUAUCAUACUUUUAAGCAUUCAAAUUAAUUAGAUUAUUACGUUGAGGUGCGAUCGACUGAACUUUAUGCGCCCAAAAGUAUUCAGAUGAAAACCAACUUUGAAAAACCGAAUUGAUUUUUCCAUGUUUUAGUUUUUUACAAAUAUCGUAUUUUUUUAUUGUUCCACAGUAUCGUGUAUAAAGUUUGUUGAGUUUUACUAUCAUUUUUAUAGAACUGAUUUUUUGUUAAGUAAUCGCUUUGUGCUUUAAUGUUGCCGUAGGUUAAGACUUAGUAUUAAAACAAUUGUGAAUAGUUAUUAUUACAUAUAUCUGUUUCCUAGUGCCAGGGACUGCAGGUAUCUAGAAGGCUGUCAGACUUCACAACUAGGAUGGAUAUUAGAUGAACCUUGGAUUCUCUUAUUACAAAAUCGAAAAUUUUGUGAAGAAAUAUUGUCAAAAAUUAAAUCGAUAUCACAAAUAAAAUUGUCAUGAAAAAUGCGUUGAAAAAUAACAGCCUGACAUACAUAGAUUCUGGUGGUAUUGUGAGUAUUCUAGUUGUGAUUACGAGUCUGCAUGUCUGAAAUUCAAAUUUAGUUUUAGGCGAAACUGAAGGAAUAAGCUGGAAUGAUCUCAUUAAUGUCUGUAUCGUCCUUUCCUGUCCAAAGAGGAGGGAACCAUAUGGUUUAAGUAUUCUAAGCUGAAAUGAUCAAAUAAAAGCAUCUGUUGAUAUUUUAAUGGAUUUUUAGAUAUUUUGCUGAUUUGCGUUCUUUAAAUGAGCUAUCAACACGUAUAGUUUUGCAACGAAGGAGCUCCUAAGAAACUAGUAAGGGACUUUCCAGUGGCGUGGCGUAAAUUGCGAUAUAUCGAUUUUUCUGCCAUUUAAACCUAUGGUAAAGAAUCGAUUAUUAAGGUGUUCGCUGCCAACACCCUGUUUAUCGAUCCUUUUCCAUAGGUUUAAGUGGCAUAACAAUCGAUAUAUCGCAAUUCACGCCACGCCACUAGGCCGUCCAUAAAUUAAGUAACGCACUUUUUCGGCAUUUUUAACCCCCUCCCCCCCUUGUAAAACAAAAUGGUGGUCGACCUCCCUCCCCUUUAGAGCGUUACGUAAUUUAUGGAAGGCCCCUUACGUUGUGCGUGCUUUACGUUGUUCUUUCCAAAAACCUUUACGUGUUUAGAUCUCGUCUACAAAAUGACAGGUGAUAUACUACAAAAAUGCAUUUAUUUUCAAAUUCCUGAAGAAGUUUUGGUCCUUGAGAGAAUUGCAGUAAAAAAAACAAGACGACGGUUAUAACGUUAAGACGUUGGAGAGUGUUCACCGUAGCACUUCGUCAAUAUGUAAAAGUGGUUUUGCGCGGACGGAAGAGAGCGCUGCCAGACGCUUUUAAACUAAACUUGGAGCGUAACGUAGGAAACAUACAUCUUGUAUACAAGAAAUGUCUUGUCAUAGAGUAAAUAUAGGGGUCAUUAGUGAAG
rnacentral:lncRNA from 1 species